rnacentral:rRNA from 1 species
UGCCAGCAGCCGCGGUAAUACGUAUGGUGCAAACGUUGUUCGGAAUCACUGGGCUUAAAGAGUACGUAGGCGGUUGAGAAAGUCUGAUGUGAGAUCCCUCGGCCCAACCGGGGAACUGCAUCGGAAACUUCUUAGCUAGAGUAUAGGAGGGGAGAGUGGAAUUCCUGGUGGAGCGGUGAAAUGCGUAGAUAUCAGGAGGAACGCCGGUGGCGAAAGCGACUCUCUGGCCUAUUACUGACGCUGAGGUGCGAAAGCUAGGGGAGCGAACGGGAUUAGAUA